rnacentral:rRNA from 1 species
CCUACGGGUGACUGCAGUGAGGAAUAUUGGUCAAUGGACGGAAGUCUGAACCAGCCAAGCCGCGUGCGGGAAGACGGCUCUAUGUAUUGUAAACUUCUUUUGUCCGAGGAUAAACCUGAAGACUAGUCUUCGGCUGAGGGUACUUGACGAAUAAGCAUCGGCUAACUCCGUGCCAGCAGCCGCGGUAAUACGGAGGAUCCAAGCGUUAUCCGGAUUUAUUGGGUUUAAAGGGUGCGUAGGCGGAUUGAUAAGUUAGAGGUGAAAUGUCCGAGCUUAACUCGGGAACUGCCUCUAAUACUGUUGAUCUAGAGAGUAGAUGAGGUAGGCGGAAUGUACGGUGUAGCGGUGAAAUGCUUAGAGAUCAUACAGAACACCGAUUGCGAAGGCAGCUUACCAAUCUAUAUCUGACGUUGAGGCACGAAAGCGUGGGGAGCAAACAGGAUUAGAUACCCCAGUAGUC